rnacentral:lncRNA from 1 species
AUAAUUCUUUCUGGAUUCCUGCUGGUGGUUAAAUUGUUUAACCAUUUUCGGUUUGCAUUUCUUGAACCCCCUAUGAUCACACACUCACUAAACACUGCCCUUAUGUAUAUAUGCCUCUAUGUUGAUAUGUUUAGUUACUGUACAUUGUAACCUGUUACAUUAGUUUGCAAUAUCUUGUAAUAGUUGCUUGUGAUCAAUUAAGUUUGG